CAUAUGCUUCAUAGUUGAACUUCAUGGAAAGCUCUAAGAUGACCCCUGCAGUUGUCUACCGGUGUGUGCUACUGACUGUUGUAUUUGCUGUCCUGCCCCAAUGCACAAGUGCACUGGAUCUAGAGUCCCUAGGAUACACAUCCGCGCUAUCAUUAGAAGCCACUAAUGGAUCGUAUACACAAACACUUCACUUUCAAGUGUGCAGAACUGAUAAUGACACAAACUUUUCAGUGGUAGUUAGAAAAGGAGGCCUAGACAUUGGCAACGCUCGUGUGAAUUACCCAGUUUAUAAGAAAGAAGACAUCACGGUCACGUACAACCAAGAAUGGUUUCCAGACAAGUUUUGCAAGAGAGCCGAUGUCUAUUUACACGAAGGUGACGUGGACAACGGAACAAUCCUACAGUUUGUACUAUAUCAAGCCAACCAGACCACUGCAAAUAUUGUGCGUGAUGUAACAGUGCCCUUCACAGUGGAAGAUGAUAAGUGCACAACAAGUGGAGCAAAAGGUUCUCCUAUGCCAGCAUUGAUGCGUAUCACACUACUGCUUAUUGCUGCCAUGAUCGCCACAUGGUGUAUGUGGUGAGGUUGGUGACUCCUAAAGCAACUGGGGUAUGUUAUAUAUAUAUACACCAUUAAUUAGAACUGCUGAACAUGUAAAGUCUAACGAUGCAUGACCAUAUAAUAUCAUAUGCUGCAGUGGAGGGAGGCUACGUUAUUCGAUAGUUAAACCAUUGCAGUGCUACCACUCUCAAUGCAUGUGAGUACAUCUCAUACAAACACACACACACACACAGAAAGAUGGACUCUCGCUCACAUUAUGAAGAACAUUUGAUUUCUUAUACUCUAGUGCCUGAUGCACUCUGUUCAGUAGAAAUGUUUAGCAACACAGUAUCAUGUAUAAUGUUUGGCUUAGAGAAUAACCUUCCUGUUAUCUAUCACAAUCGGACACUAAUAAGAAUCAUGUUUAUGUUAUUUGUGUUAUUCGUGUGUGCUAUACUAUAUGAAUUGA